AGGAAAAGUGGGGAAGGAUUGAGAAGCAAGGGGAAUAGUCACACCCUUGAGAGAUUUUUCUAGAACAACCGCACUUAAGUAAGGUUGAAAAGAAGACGAUUAGAAAAGAAAAAAGUGCAGUCGCACCAAAAAAUGGAAGGAGAUCUCUAGAGGUGAGGAAACACUGAGCAAGGAAGGAAAAUGAGAUAACCAUUGAGAAGCAAGAGGAACAGCCGCACCCUUGAGAGAUUUUUCUAGAAUAGACACACCAAGUGAAAGAAAAUGAAAGAUGAUCUAGAGAAGCCGCACCAAGUGAAAGAAAGAGAAAGGUGAUCUGGAAUAGCCGCACCCUUGAGAGAUUUUUCCAGAACAGCCGCACCAAGUAAAGGAAUGAGAAAGGUGAUCAAGAGAGGCCACACCAUUGAAGGAAGGAUUUGUAGCCACGCAAGAGAGAGAGGGCGCGAGGGUUAUUGGGGAUCUCGAUCUUCAUACACAUAGCCUCUUAUUUUUUAUGGGGAACGGUGGUUGAAUUUGGAGUUAGGAUUUGGCAUAGGCGACAGUAGCUAUAGCAACGUACUUGAAUGGUGGUAUACGCUGAGAGAAUUUGAAGUGGCGGUGAAUAGUUUGGGUAUAAGGAGAUCACGGUUGGAAGAAGGAGAAUAGGACGCCAUCUCUAAGAACAUCACCACCAUUUGUAACCAACCCAUCUGCUAGAACACUCCGCAUAGAUCUCAUAACACCAUCUGUCCUAAACACCACAGUAGAUGUGCGCCAAUUGAGCUCCACAGGUGGCACUUCUGAGCAUUCUGCAUAGAGAAUAUUCAUGUACAUAACCUGAACGUUUAAGUAAUCCACAACCCAUGACACUGCUUGGAAAAGGUAAGUUGGUUAAAUCUUGUUUUAUUACAUAAAAAAAAAUAAGUUGAUCGUCAUUGGGUUGAGGCUUCGAUUUAUUGUGUCAUUUUGAUAGAGUUUGGCUUACUUAGUUUCAAUUUUGAAUUUAUUAGAUUUAAAUUAAAGAGGUUUGAGUUUAGAUAAAAAAUUUU
rnacentral:lncRNA from 1 species